GUGAGGAAUAUUGCGCAAUGGAGGCAACUCUGACGCAGCCAUGCCGCGUGCAGGAAGAAGGCGCUACGCGUUGUAAACUGCUUUUAACCGGGAAGAAAACCCAGGACGUGUCCUGGGUUGACGGUACCGGAGGAAUAAGCACCGGCUAACUUCGUGCCAGCAGCCGCGGUAAUACGAAGGGUGCAAGCGUUAUCCGGAUUCAUUGGGUUUAAAGGGUGCGUAGGCGGAGCGUUAAGUCAGUGGUGAAAUCCUGCAGCUUAACUGUAGACUUGCCAUUGAUACUGGCGCGCUUGAGUGCGCUUGAAGUGGGCGGAAUGUGCCGUGUAGCGGUGAAAUGCUUAGAUAUGGCACAGAACACCAAUUGCGAAGGCAGCUCACUAAGGCGAUACUGACGCUGAGGCACGAAAGCGUGGGGAUCGAACAGGAUUAGAAACCCGAGUAGUCC
rnacentral:rRNA from 1 species